AUUGAACGCUGGCGGCAUGCUUUACACAUGCAAGUCGAACGGCAGCGCGGGCUUCGGCCUGGCGGCGAGUGGCGAACGGGUGAGUAAUGCAUCGGAACGUGCCCAGUAGUGGGGGAUAGCCCGGCGAAAGCCGGAUUAAUACCGCAUACGACCUGAGGGUGAAAGCGGGGGACCGAAAGGCCUCGCGCUAUUGGAGCGGCCGAUGUCGGAUUAGCUAGUUGGUGGGGUAAAGGCUUACCAAGGCGACGAUCCGUAGCUGGUCUGAGAAGACGACCAGCCACACUGGGACUGAGACACGGCCCAGACUCCUACGGGAGGCAGCAGUGGGGAAUUUUGGACAAUGGGGGCAACCCUGAUCCAGCCAUGCCGCGUGCGGGAAGAAGGCCUUCGGGUUGUAAACCGCUUUUGUUCGGGAAGAAAUCCUCUGGGCUAAUACCCCGGGGGGAUGACGGUACCGAAAGAAUAAGCACCGGCUAACUACGUG
rnacentral:rRNA from 1 species